AAGUCGUAACAAGGUCUCCGUUGGUGAACCAGCGGAGGGAUCAUUACCGAGUUAUACAACUCAUCAACCCUGUGAACAUACCUAAAACGUUGCUUCGGCGGGAACAGACGGCCCUGUAACAACGGGCCGCCCCCGCCAGAGGACCCCUAACUCUGUUUUUAUAAUGUUUUUCUGAGUAAACAAGCAAAUAAAUUAAAACUUUCAACAACGGAUCUCUUGGCUCUGGCAUCGAUGAAGAACGCAGCGAAAUGCGAUAAGUAAUGUGAAUUGCAGAAUUCAGUGAAUCAUCGAAUCUUUGAACGCACAUUGCGCCCGCCAGUAUUCUGCCGGGCAUGCCUGUUCGAGCGUCAUUACAACCCUCAGGCCCCCGGGCCUGGCGUUGGGGAUCGGCAGAAGCCCCCUGUGGGCACACGCCGUCCCUCAAAUACAGUGGCGGUCCCGCCGCAGCUUCCAUUGCGUAGUAGCUAACACCUCGCAACUGGAGAGCGGCGCGGCCAUGCCGUAAAACACCCAACUUCUGAAUGUUGACCUCGAAUCAGGUAGGAAUACCCGCUGAACUUAA
rnacentral:rRNA from 1 species